UCUGGUGCCGAUGCGCUUAGGGGAGACACCCGUUCCCAUCCCGAACACGAUGGUUAAGACUUAAGCGGCCGAUGGUACUAUGCUGGAGACGGCAUGGGAGAGCAGGUGGGUGCCAGAU
rfam:[Clostridium] celerecrescens strain 152B rep_c66, whole genome shotgun sequence.